GCAGUCGAACGAUGACUUUUGUGCUUGCCAAAAUGAUUAGUGGCGAACGGGUGAGUAACACGUGAGUAACCUGCCCUUAACUUCGGGAUAAGCCUGGGAAACCGGGUCUAAUACCGGAUACGACCUCCUGACGCAUGUCAUGGGGGUGGAAAGCUUGAUGCGGUUUUGGAUGGACUCGCGGCCUAUCAGCUAGUUGGUUGGGGUAAUGGCCCACCAAGGCGACGACGGGUAGCCGGCCUGAGAGGGUGACCGGCCACACUGGGACUGAGACACGGCCCAGACUCCUACGGGAGGCAGCAGUGGGGAAUAUUGCACAAUGGGCGAAAGCCUGAUGCAGCGACGCCGCGUGAGGGACGAAGGCCUUCGGGUUGUAAACCUCUUUCAGCAGGGAAGAAGCGAAAGUGACGGUACCUGCAGAAGAAGCGCCGGCUAACUACGUGCCAGCAGCCGCGGUAAUACGUAGGGCGCAAGCGUUAUCCGGAAUUAUUGGGCGUAAAGAGCUCGUAGGCGGUUUGUCGCGUCUGCUGUGAAAGCCCGGGGCUCAACCCCGGGUCUGCAGUGGGUACGGGCAGACUAGAGUGCAGUAGGGGAGACUGGAAUUCCUGGUGUAGCGGUGAAAUGCGCAGAUAUCAGGAGGAACACCGAUGGCGAAGGCAGGUCUCUGGGCUGUAACUGACGCUGAGGAGCGAAAGCAUGGGGAGCGAACAGGAUUAGAUACCCUGGUAGUCCAUGCCGUAAACGUUGGGCACUAGGUGUGGGGGACAUUCCACGUUUUCCGCGCCGUA
rnacentral:rRNA from 1 species